rnacentral:rRNA from 1 species
UACAGAGGUCCCAAGCGUUGUUCGGAUUCACUGGGCGUAAAGGGUGCGUAGGCGGUCGGGUAAGUCUGACGUGAAAUCUUCAAGCUCAACUUGGAAACUGCGUCCGAUACUAUUCGGCUAGAGGAAUGGAGGGGAGACUGGAAUUCCUGGUGUAGCGGUGAAAUGCGCAGAUAUCAGGAGGAGCACCGGUGGCGAAGGCGGGUCUCUGGGCAACAACUGACGCUGAGGAGCGAAAGCGUGGGGAGCGAACAGG